GACGAACGCUGGCGGCGUGCUUAACACAUGCAAGUCGAGCGGUAAGGCCCUUUCGGGGGUACGACGAGCGGCGAACGGGUGAGUAACACGUGGGUGACCUGCCCUCAGCUCUGGGAUAAGCCUGGGAAACUGGGUCUAAUACUGGAUAUGACUCCACGGUGCAUGUCGUGGGGUGGAAAGCCUUGUGCGGCUGAGGAUGGGCCCGCGGCCUAUCAGCUUGUUGGUGGGGUGANGGCCCACCAAGGCGACGACGGGUAGCCGGCCUGAGAGGGCGACCGGCCACACUGGGACUGAGACACGGCCCAGAC
rnacentral:rRNA from 1 species